rnacentral:rRNA from 1 species
GGGCCCGCACAAGCGGUGGAGCAUGUGGUUUAAUUCGAUGCAACGCGAAAAACCUUACCUACCCUUGACUUCCUCGGAAGCUUUCAGAGAUGAGAGUGUACCUUCGGGAACCGAGUGACAGGUGCUGCAUGGCUGUCGUCAGCUCGUGUCGUGAGAUGUUGGGUUAAGUCCCGUAACGAGCGCAACCCCUAUCUCUAGUUGCCAGCAAGUAAUGUUGGGGACUCUAGAGAGACCGCCGGUGAUAAACCGGAGGAAGGCGGGGACGAGGUCAAGUCAUCAUGGCCCUUAUGGGUAGGGCUACACACGUGCUACAAUGGAUGGUACAGAGAGUUGCGAAGCGGUGACGUGGAGCUAAUCUCACAAAGCCAUUCAUAGUCCGGAUUGGAGUCUGCAACUCGACUCCAUGAAGUUGGAAUCGCUAGUAAUCGCGAAUC